rnacentral:rRNA from 1 species
UGAACCCUACGAGGCGCAGCAGUGGGGGAUAUUGCACAAUGGGGGAAACCCUGAUGCAGCGACGCCGCGUGGGCGAAGAAGUAUUUCGGUAUGUAAAGCCCUAUCAGCAGGGAAGAAGAAAUGACGGUACCUGAGUAAGAAGCACCGGCUAAAUACGUGCCAGCAGCCGCGGUAAUACGUAUGGUGCAAGCGUUAUCCGGAUUUACUGGGUGUAAAGGGAGCGCAGGCGGCACGGCAAGCCUGAUGUGAAAGCCCGCGGCCCAACCGCGGGACGGCAUUGGGAACUACCGGGCUGGAGGGCCGGG